AAGUAACGCUAGCUAUAUGCUUAACACAUGCAAGUCGAACGUUGUUUUCGGGCGCGCUUGUCUCGCCUUGAGAACAAAGUGGCGAACGGGUGCGUAACGCGUGGGAAUCUACCCAUCUCUACGGAACAACUCCGGGAAACUGGAGCUAAUACCGUAUACGUCCUUCGGGAGAAAGAUUUAUCGGAGAUGGAUGAGCCCGCGUUGGAUUAGCUAGUUGGUGGGGUAAUGGCCUACCAAGGCGACGAUCCAUAGCUGGUCUGAGAGGAUGAUCAGCCACACUGGGACUGGGACACGGCCCAGACUCCUACGGGAGGCAGCAGUGGGGAAUAUUGGACAAUGGGCGAAAGCCUGAUCCAGCCAUGCCGCGUGAGUGAUGAAGGCCCUAGGGUUGUAAAGCUCUUUCACCGGUGAAGAUAAUGACGGUAACCGGAGAAGAAGCCCCGGCUAACUUCGUGCCAGCCGCCGCCGUAACAC
rnacentral:rRNA from 1 species